UUAAGAAACAUUUGGAGAGGUACAUGGUUAGGGCAGGUUUAGAGGGAUAUGGGCCAAACGCAGGCAGGUGGGACUAGUGUAGAUGGGGUUUAUUGGUCUGUAUGGGCAAAUUAAGCCAAAUGGCC